rnacentral:rRNA from 1 species
GGGACCUACGGGGGGCAGCAGUAGGGAAUUUUCGUCAAUGGGCGCAAGCCUGAACGAGCGAUGCCGCGUGAGUGAAGAAGGCCUUCGGGUCGUAAAGCUCUGUUGCGGGGGAAAAAAGGCAGCAUCAGGAAAUGGGUGCUGACUGAUGGUGCCCCGCCAGAAAGUCACGGCUAACUACGUGCCAGCAGCCGCGGUAAUACGUAGGUGGCGAGCGUUAUCCGGAAUGAUUGGGCGUAAAGGGUGCGUAGGCGGCCUGCUAAGUCUGGAGUGAAAGGUACCGGCUCAACCGGUACAGGCUCUGGAAA